GUUAAGUCAGGCAACGAGCGAGACCCACGUCCACAGUUGCCAGCAUACCCUCCGGGGUGAUGGGUACACUGUGGAGACCGCCGCUGCUAAAGCGGAGGAAGGAGUGGGCAACGGUAGGUCAGUAUGCCCCGAAUCUCCCGGGCUACACGCGGGCUACAAUGGUUGGUACAAUGGGCAUCUACCCCGAAAGGGGAAGGAAAUCUCUUAAAGCCAAUCGUAGUUCGGAUUGAGGGCUGCAACUCGCCCUCAUGAAGCUGGAAUCCGUAGUAAUCGCGUUUCAACAGAACGCGGUGAAUACGUCCCUGCUCCUU
rnacentral:rRNA from 1 species